rnacentral:lncRNA from 1 species
GACAACAUGUGCCGAUGAACACACACUAGGUCGAACACUAUCUGCAAAAGGGAAAUAAAGGGGUGACUCUCACAGACUCAGUAAUCAUCGGCUCCGUGAGUAGGAAGUAGAUGGGAAACAAGCUUAAGGCAGAUCAUUUGAAUGAUAAAUCCGAAAUAAAAGUAAUAAUCUUAGAAAAAUUAAAUCUCAAAUAGAGUGUUUUGCCUUGUAAAAAUGAUGCCGUAAAAUCAUCGUGCAAUAUUUCACUUGGCAAAACGAUGCUGAAAACAAGUGUAGCGAAACCAAGUUCAAUCAUAGCAAACAUCACUUACGAUCAAAAUACGAGAAACGGUAUAAAAAUAUGCACGUUCCCAAGUUGUGUGGCACGUAAAGAAAUCAAUUUAUAAAGCCACAUAAACCAGCUCAUGAUUGACAAGUAAGCACUGAAAGCUUUUAUUCAAAUAAAGGGAGCUACAUAGAAAAACCUUAACUCUCCACCAUGCAAAAGAGUACGCGUCGAAAAACUCACAAGGCUCUCGAGUAGGAAAGUAUAAUAUCAACACACGGACCCACUUCCACGUAAUAACAAUCCGGGAACACUGCUUCCACCGGAUUCCCACAUGUCAUGGCAGUCUCGAUGAUGUUGGCCGACAUCGGAGAAUCAAGUGGUCACAACCGUGAAUAUCACUUGUGGCCUAGCCAUAUAUAACAACCCGUGGCCUUGCCACGUAUAUCAUAGACCAUGGCCCCAGCCAUGUCUAUCAGCUUAUCAGUGACUCAAAGGUUCUCUAGCUAAAGCUCACUUGUGCACAAGAGUACACUUAACUAAAGUGACAUUUGACCUAAUCUCAACACUCUCGGUUUGUCAAAAUUGUUUUCAAAACCAAAUCAAGUUUUUCAAGACUUUUUCUUUUAAAUCUUUUGAAAUCAAGGUUUGAUAACCGGUCAAAUUGCAUUUCUCAUUAAUUGGAAUGGUGUAAACACGUGUACAAAGGUCGAAAUAAAACCGGUGCUCAAAACUUGUAUUUAAAUCAUUUUAACAAAUGCAUUUAGCUUUGCAGAUCACACAAAAAUACAAGGCACGAAUUUUGAUGAAAACAUCAUAAAAAGGCUUGUUUCUCUGUUUCUAAAACACUUUACAUAUAUAGAUUAUCUAUAGGCAUAUCCAAACCAACUUUCAAAACAACUUGCAUCCACAAAAUACCUAGGAUUCUACCAACUCAUGCUUUCCACAAAUUUUGCAUUUAAAAUAAAUCAUCACAUAUAUAUAUUAUGGAAAUUUGGAAAUCGACACCCCCUACUCACCUUACAAUAGCAGGACGACACUUUAUCGUUAUUGAUUCGAGUGUGUAUCUAGCUAUUUCUACUUGCCGGUCACCCGUUACCUCGUCCGGCAUGCCACCACGGUAAACUUUUCUAGCAAUAAAUUAAACUCAAUAUAUUUAAUGUAUAUCAUUUCCACUUCUCUUUCUCAUUCAAUCAUAAAUCCUCAUUCUAUUAACUUGCAUCUUAACACGUUUUUGCUAAGGUUAUUCAUAUCCUUUGUUUGUGUAAUUCUUUAGAUUAUAAGUACCAGCAACUUAUUCAUAACUUUAGCACACAAUUUAAUCUUUUCCAAUGAUAUUUAUCAAGUUUAGCUAUCAUUUUCACACCAAUAACCUCGCAUAUGGCAGCAAUUAUAAAUCUAAUUUCAUCAAGCAUUUUGCAAGUUUACAUGCACCAUAAUUCACAUUUACUUGCUGCCUCCAAGCAUAACAUCAAUAUUCAUUCAUAUGCACUAACAUUCAUAAUCUUUUAAACCUUUCACAACAACACAUAUCCACACAUUACAUUUUUUUCAAGUUUUCAACUAUCAUAAUUGCAUUUAAUCGUACCCAUGACAUCAAAAUAACACUACACAUUGCAUGCCUUACCUUUGUGGUGAAUUUGACCUUGCAUGCAACCUUAAUGCUCUUCCAAUAUUCCACUCACCAAGCUACCAACAAUUGCACAAUCAUUCCUUACGAUAUUCAUCUAACCGUAGGCUUCAAAACAUAGUGUUAAGCUUGCCGUUUUUCUUUCACCUUGAACCCAUUAUGCACCCACAAGUUUGGUGGCUUGCAUGUCACCAAUUUUUCUCUAAUCAAGCUGAUCUUUGCUGCCACUAGACAUUUCUCUUAGUCAUCAACUCAUUUUCAAGGAUUACUCAAGCUAAAAACAAAAAUCCUUACCUUUCCUUGCUUGAAUCACAAAACCGAGCUUUAUACCUCCAUUGACUCUCUAUGGCUUCUCUCUUGAGUAUUGAAGGUUCCUUGAGUGAAACAACAACAUAAAUCUACAAGAUGAGGGAGGAAAUCUCACGGUUCCUCUUGGUUUUUUGCAAAACGGAGCCUUUCCUUCCUUUCUUGCUUUUUCUUUAUUUCUUUCUCUCAUUUCCUUUCUGUUUUCUUCUUUCUUUCCUCUUGUUUCUCUUUUCUUCUUGGUUAUGGGUGGACUUCUCAAGGCCAAGCCUUGAAAAUGGCUUUCAUUUUCUCAUUUUUCUCUCCCAUGGGUGGAUUGCCCAAGGUCAUUCACCUUUUUCUCUUCUUUCCUUUUCUUGUCUCUUUAUUUUUCCUUCAUGGGUGGAUUGCCCAAAAAUUGCUCAUUUUAGCAUUUUUCCUUUUUCCUUUUAUGUGGCAAAAUUGCAAGUCAAAAGGCCUUUGAACCAUUCCACUUGUCGUUCACUUUUCAUUGUCCAUUCUUUCUUCAUUUCUUUUUCAUCUCUUAUUUACAUGCCAUGCCAUUCAAUUACCUUUCUUUGUUUUCUUUCUAUUAAAUAUUAUAUUUAUGCCUUUUCUUCUCAAAUCACAUCACCUUAUUUACUUGUUUACAUGGGCUAUCUUUGCCAAACCAUGGUUUUCUCUAAUUAAAUAUUUUUUGAUUCUUUUUCUCUUGUCAACUUUCACAUGGUGGGGUACCAUAUGUUUUGUCACGACUCGGUACUCCCCUCGAGCCCGUGACAACCUCCACGACGUCUCGGUAGACAUUCGUUACCCGAAAUGCCAACCGGAACCCCGCAAGGCUUUAGUACCUUUUUUUUUCAUCUCCCCUGUGAGUAAUCAUCGCCAAACCACGUUUUUAAAAAAUUUUAAGCUUUUUCCCUUUCAAAACCGUGAAAAAAUAAUUUUCGCCUCACAGGGGCGUUUUUGUCAUUUUUCCUUAAAAUUUUCUAAACCUGACUAAAAAUGUAGUAGAUGACUGAAAAACACAUAUUUCAUGAUUUAAAAUAGAUUUGGGCGUCUAAAACAUUUAUUAAAAAUGACAUUGCAACUAUUUAAAUAAAAUAAUAAUAUUUUAUAAAAUAUUCUAAUUGCUUGUAAAACAAUAUUUAUAGUCAUCGGUAAAUAUUUUUUGUAAUGUAAAAGCUAAAUAAAUUCAUACGUACUAUAAUACAAAUAACCGGGAUAUGAAAUUUACUUUACAGUGACUCGUGGGCCAACAAGGAACAAAAGUGCACAAAGGCAAUAAACCUACAAUUUUUGGAGUAGUAAAGCCGACUAUAAUCCUUGACGAUAUUUGCUAUCCAUAGGCUACCUCGGGCCUGAAAUGGUUAAAAAGGUGGGUGGUGAGAUUAUAAAAUCUCAGUGAGUAAACAGAUACCAUCUAAAUCAUCUAAAGUCGAGUAAGUGGAGAUAGAUAAAACAGUUUAACAUACUGAAAUUCAUCACCUUUCAACUUGUUUCAACCAAAUAAAAUCAAUUCAUAUAAAUCGAGUAAUUAACAUGGCUUAUGAAUUUCUUAAAACUUUGGCUCGUGCCAAAAAUCAUUUUUAUACCCAGUUAUCAAGGAUGCCUUGAUCGAGGGCUAUCCCAACCGAGUCCGCCAAGGCUAAUAAAAAGUCAUGUACGCAUAAAUCAUAUUUUUAUUUUGAAAACAUAGUCGUUCCUUGGCGUUGGCUGAGUUCUCCCCACGUGGUGGUUGGGUAUGAAGUGAACUCUAAAGUUUGACCUCAGGAGUUACCCUACGCGCCUCUACAAUCGAGGUGCAUAUAUAUGACCAGGUUCCAUGCCCUUAUAAUAGGUUGGUCUACAGAACCAGCCCACUGCAGCAAGCUAAACCCACUAUAUAAUAAAAAUUCAACAGCAUGAUAUGACAAUUUUUUAAUUAUCCAGCCUAUCAAGGCAAACAAUAGUUUAUACAUUUCAACACAAAUACCAAUUUAGCCAUUCAUGCCAAUAUUGUCCUAAGCCAAACAAUUAGAACCAUAUAUUCACAAUACAUCAAAUGGUCUCCAAUUACUCUAUUUUCAAAGCCAUUAUUCAAUUUCAAAACAAUUUUUUGAAAUCAUUUCAUUAAAUCACAUUUGGUUUAUAAAAUCGAAAAAUUAAUCAUUUAAUUCAUUUUCCAUGAAAUUCACAAAAUCAGAUAAAAACCACUUUAGAUAAUUAAGACGAUAGUAAGGUUACUCACAGUACUAGGAGUUCGAUAUACUUCUAUUCUCGAUCUUCAAGCACAAUCUCUUUACCCCUGUUAGAGGGCUCACCACCUAUACAUCGUAUGUGACACGAAUUUCAAUAAAUUGUGUCAAUUUAUCAUAAACUAUUUCAGGCUCUAUAAAUCUAUGUGAAUGCACGAAAUGUGAUGCAAAAUGUGUGAAUAGUCGUUUACAUACGGUAUUCGAUCUAAUUCGCACUAUUCUCGGUGUAAUUGGCUAAAACGUCCAAUUUAACUCCAAAUCUAUUUCUUUCACUUUCUACACUCCAAUUAUACUUAAAAUACCUCAAUGAAUGUGAAUAUGAUUCAAUUUAUCAGUUUGAACCAUAAAUCGCACAUGUCUAUACAUUAGGUAAAAAUUCAGAUUUUCAUGCCAAAAUUUCCCAUUAAAUUUUUAGCCUCACCAAUCAUUAAAUACCACCAAAAUAUUAUGAAAUAUCAUCAAUUUCAACCUCAAUAUCCUCCCUAGAAAAUUCGGCCUCUUGUGGGUUUGUGAAGAACAAAGUGAUUCCUAGCUAGAUUUUCAUACUUUCCAUUACCAAACAACCAAAAACACUUAAUUAGCUUGAAAUCUAGCAAAAUCAAUGCUCAAAACCUCUCCUCUCAAAUUCGGCCAGUAUGGGUUCAUCAUGCAAACUUGAGUUCUAAGCAUGGAAAAUGAAAAAGAAAGCAUGCGUAGUGUAAAUCACAAGAUAAAAUCACAGAAUCUUACCUUUAUUAGCUUAAUCCCUUGAAAUCCCACACUUUUUCUUCAAUUUUCCCACCUAGGGUUUGUGGUCUUUCCUUUCCUCUUCACUUCAUGCUUUGGCC